rnacentral:rRNA from 1 species
CGCCUGGGGAGUGCGGCCGCAAGGUUAAAACUCAAGUGAAUUGACGGGGGCCCGCACAAGCGGUGGAGCAUGUGGUUUAAUUCGACGCAACGCGAAGAACCUUACCUGGCCUUGACAUGCAGAGAACUUUCCAGAGAUGGAUUGGUGCCUUCGGGAACUCUGACACAGGUGCUGCAUGGCCGUCGUCAGCUCGUGUCGUGAGAUGUUGGGUUAAGUCCCGUAACGAGCGCAACCCCUAUCCCUAGUUGCUAGCAGUUCGGCUGAGAACUCUAGGGAGACCGCCGGUGACAAACCGGAGGAAGGUGGGGAUGACGUCAGGUCAUCAUGGCCUUUACGGCCAGGGCUACACACGUGCUACAAUGGUGCGCACAGAGGGCUGCAAACCCGCGAGGGGGAGCCAAUCUCACAAAACGCAUCGUAGUCCGGAUCGCAGUCUGCAACUCGACUGCGUGAAGUCGGAAUCGCUAGUGAUCGUGAAUCAGAAUGUCACGGUGAAUACGUUCCCGGGCCUUGUACACACCGCCCGUCACACCAUGGGAGUGGAUUGCACCAGAAGUGGUUAGUCUAACCUUCGGGAGGACGAUCACCACGGUGUGGUUCAUGACUGGGGUGAAGUCGUAACAAGGUAACCGUA